rnacentral:rRNA from 1 species
UACGUAGGUGGCAAGCGUUGUCCGGAUUUAUUGGGUUUAAAGGGUGCGUAGGCGGUCUUAUAAGUCAGUGGUGAAAUCCGGCAGCUCAACUGUCGAGGUGCCAUUGAUACUGUAGGACUUGAGUACAGACGAGGUAGGCGGAAUUGACGGUGUAGCGGUGAAAUGCUAGAUAUCGUUAAGAACACCGAUAGCGAAGGCAGCUUACUAGGCUGUAACUGACGCUGAGGCACGAAAGUGUGGGGAUCAAACAGG